CACAGUUGUUAUGGAGGCCUGGGACGCUCAGGGUUAAUUGCUGCAUGUUUGCUGCUGCUGCUCUCUGUCUCCAUGACACCCAGUGCUGCUCUGGAGAUCCUGAGGGAGCUGAGAGGAGGUGGAGCCAUUCAGACCGUCAAGCAAUACAACUUCCUUCAUGAGUUUCGGGAGAAGUUUGAAGCAUAUCAAGAAACCAAAGAGCGACUUUCAGAGAGAUCAGUGUCCCGAUGAUCAACCUGACAUCCAGAUGAUGUAAAAGCAGAAAAAAAGACAAAUUACUUUGAUUGGUGUUUUUGCUCUAUGGAUUUUCUCUACUUUGAUUAUGAAUGCAUUUGUUUCUUUUCUGAUGGCACUUUAAAAAUUCUGUAUUUUUAAGUCAAUCUAAUAAUAUUGUGCUUAAUAUAUAACUUUAACUUUGCAAUUAAGUGGGUCUUGUUCAGUAAGUGAGUCUUAAAGGUGCAGCAAGUGAUUUCUGAGACACGCUGUUGAAAAUUGUAAUCAACACCCAAACAAACAAUUUUGUGAAUAUUUUCUAUCUGUUUUUUCUAUGUAUGUUGAAACAAAUUGUUUGUGUAGAGUCCUGGCUGUGUAAAUAAGGGAGAAACGUGGAUCAGACCGAGCACCAUAACACUCUUGUAGCCAAUCAGCAAUAGGGGCGUUUACGCUCAUGAUGGGGAGGAGAGAGCCUGAGCAAGCAGGAGAUUUGUCUAGACUGUAGAAAGAGAGAUGGCUGAUGCAUUACCAAGAGAAAAAUGUCACAAGAAUAUCUUUAAAAGAAGGCUUACAAUCAGGCAACCUCUAGGACCUGCGUUAAUAUGGGGAAAGCUUUCGGCACCGAGGUUGCUGUGUUUCCUCUCGGUAUGCGAGUAACAUUGGUUUUACUAUAUUUCACAAAACCAACACAUGCUGUUGCAAUAUUAUCUAUAGCGCUGCUGGUGCUUGGCUAUUACAAAAAUAAUUUCAUCAUUGGCUAUUACAGCUAUGAUGAAAACAUCCGUUUCGGCAGACACAGUCUUGAUAAACCAUCUGUUAUAGUUGUAUGUGUUGCAUGGCGUUCAUGAAUUUUUGUCUUAUUCAGACAUUGUUUCUUAGAAAUCGGUUGGCGCCUAAACAUGAUGUGUCUGCAUUAUAUCGUGCAUUAUCUGCAUUAAUCCUGCCCAGUCGAUCAAAUUGAGAGAAAUGUUUAUUUUUGUGUCUGGGAAACCAUAUGUUGCUUAUGUGAGUAAUGGUGAUUUGGAUGGUGGAUUAAGGUAUUAUGCAGCUGUUGGCAAUCAUUCCUGGCAAUUUUCUUUUCAAAGUGGUCAUUAGUAAGGAAAUUUAUAAAGUUUGCAACAAUUACGUUACCUAUGAAAUGAACCAAACCUUUAAUUUAAACAGAAACACAAAUCGUCAUACAAUCAAAACAGCUCAAAUGCUGUCGUGAAUGAUGAAAAAUAUUUUCAUAUUUUUUCAUAUUUCAUUUCAUACUUCAUAUUUGCCACAUGAUAAUAAAACUAUGACUAAUAUCCAGAAGUAAGCCUAUGGGCGAGACUUCCGGUUCAACAGCAUGCAGUAAACAGUGAAACUGUUUGUAGUACAAACCAGUGUUAAUUAAGAUAACGCAUUACAAUAAUAUGCUAAGACACCAAUCUGCAAUGUCAAGCAACAAAACAAGCUGUUUUGUACAGCUAAAAAUAGCUGGACCCAUAAAAUUUACAAAUGG